GACGAACGCUGGCGGCGUGCUUAACACAUGCAAGUCGAACGGAAAGGCCCUGCUUGCAGGGUACUCGAGUGGCGAACGGGUGAGUAACACGUGGGUGAUCUGCCCUGCACUUCGGGAUAAGCCUGGGACACUGGGCCUAAUACCGGACAGCAGACAUUUUUAGUGUGAUGGUUGGAAAGUUUUUUCGGUGUAGGAUGAGCUCGCGGCCUAUCAGCUUGUUGGUGGGGUAAUGGCCUACCCAGGCGACGACGGGUAGCCCGCCUGAGAGGGUGGGAGGCGACAUUGAGACUUAGAGACGGCCCAGAUUCCUACGGGAGGCAGCAGUGGGGAAGAUUGAUCAAUGGGCGCAAGCCUGAUGCAGCGACGCCGCGUGGGGGAUGACGGCCUUCGGGUGGAAGACGCCUUUCGCUAGGGACGAAGCUUUUUGUGACGGUACCUAGAUAAGAAGCACCGGCUAACUACGUG
rnacentral:rRNA from 1 species